rnacentral:rRNA from 1 species
GAUGAACGCUGGCGGCGUGCCUAAUACAUGCAAGUCGAGCGAACGGACGAGAAGCUUGCUUUUCUGAUGUUAGCGGCGGACGGGUGAGUAACACGUGGAUAACCUACCUAUAAGACUGGGAUAACUUCGGGAAACCGGAGCUAAUACCGGAUAAUAUUUUGAACCGCAUGGUUCAAAAGUGAAAGACGGUCUUGCUGUCACUUAUAGAUGGAUCCGCGCUGCAUUAGCUAGUUGGUAAGGUAACGGCUUACCAAGGCAACGAUGCAUAGCCGACCUGAGAGGGUGAUCGGCCACACUGGAACCGAGACACGGUCCAGACUCCUACGGGAGGCAGCAGUAGGGAAUCUUCCGCAAUGGGCGAAAGCCUGACGGAGCAACGCCGCGUGAGUGAUGAAGGUCUUCGGAUCGUAAAACUCUGUUAUUGGGGAAGAACAUAUGUGUAAGUAACUGUGCACAUCUUGACGGUACCUAAUCAGAAAGCCACGGCUAACUACGUG